CCCAUUUAAGAAUGAAAGAUGGCCCUUCAAGUUGUUUGUUUACAGAAUUAUGUCAAUAGAACAUUGAUAUCUGCCAUUAAGCGUCAUUAGAAGAAAAAAUCAUUGUGUGGAAAUAUGUAUUUCAAGUGUAUGAAAAAAUCAGGAAACUUAUAUAGAAAGCGUGCUAAAAUUAUGCGUGAGCUGUUUGAGAACGGAAACGACUGCGAAAUAAUCGAUAAUACAGAAUCAACAAACUUUGAUCAUGCGGUUGAACAAAUACCCGACAGUUCCAGUUCAGAAGAUGAUGAGUGUGGGAUCCUGAGUAUGAAUGUUGUGGUGUGAGUGCGGAACGGCAAUGGAUGAGAGGCCGCCAGUCUUAGUUAAAUGCUGAAUAAAGGAGGCUGUGUUGCGUGAACUGGUAAA